UGAAGCUUGCUUUUGAUGGGCGUCGACCGGCGCACGGGUGAGUAACGCGUAUCCAUUCAUGGCCCCACUUGGGGAUAACCUUGCGAAAGUAAGACUCAUACCCAAUGAUAUCUCUAGAAGACAUCUGAAAGAGAUUAAAGAUUUAUCGGUGAUGGAUGGGGAUGCGUCUGAUUAGCUUGUUGGCGGGGUAACGGCCCACCAAGGCAACGAUCAGUAGGGGUUCUGAGAGGAAGGUCCCCCACAUUGGAACUGAGACACGGUCCAAACUCCUACGGGAGGCAGCAGUGAGGAAUAUUGGUCAAUGGACGAGAGUCUGAACCAGCCAAGUAGCGUGCAGGAUGACGGCCCUAUGGGUUGUAAACUGCUUUUAUAAGGGAAUAAAGUGAGUCUCGUGAGACUUUUUGCAUGUACCUUAUGAAUAAGGACCGGCUAAUUCCGUGCCAGCAGCCGCGGUAAUACGGAAGGUCCGGGCGUUAUCCGGAUUUAUUGGGUUUAAAGGGAGCGUAGGCCGGAGAUUAAGCGUGUUGUGAAAUGUAGACGCUCAACGUCUGCACUGCAGCGCGAACUGGUUUCCUUGAGUACGCACAAAGUGGGCGGAAUUCGUGGUGUAGCGGUGAAAUGCUUAGAUAUCACGAAGAACUCCGAUUG
rnacentral:rRNA from 1 species